rnacentral:lncRNA from 1 species
UAUUUUCUUUCGGAAGUUCUUCCGUGUGUGAGGUUGCUUCCUUCCCAAAGUAUGACCACUAGGGUGGCCUUUAAAAUUCUGCCAUCUUGCUUCCCCAGAACAACAGACACGGCAUCUGCAGGCCAGCCACAAAAUGGUAAUUAGUUAUAAUGUUUCAGGAAGUGCCUCCAUUGUUGUGUCUGUAUUUUUCAUUGUAAUUGGAGCCUGCAAAGAUUAAUCAGACUAGAUUGUCUAUAGGAGCUGCUAAGAAUGGACACUUGGGUAUCUUAAUUCUUGGGGAGCAACAAACAAAGGAAGGAGCAGCUGAAAGGCCACAGCAUAAUUUGUGUUCACCAGAGUAGCCUCUGCUGGGCUCCAGGCCAGGAAGACAGGCACAGCCUUGCCGGUGUCAAGGAAGAACAUGGGUAGCAGGAGACCUGAGAGUGGAUGAAAAUUGAAUUAUCCUUACUUCUAGGACCUGCCUAUUGAGACCCAGCAGCUGUGGCAAGCAUUUACUACCAACAAGAGGCAGUUCCAAGAGAAGAAUAUAAAACACGCUCUGCUCAACCCCACGAAACUCGGAGUGUCUCACAAUGGCCAAUUUAUUAUUUUUACCCUGUCCAGUGACACGGAAGGAUGCAUCAGGGAGCUGCUAGCCUCUGCGAUGAAUAACUUAAGUCAGGCUGCAACAUGUGAAGUAAUUCAGCUGACCAGGAUUUAUAACGCUAGCUGGAGUUUUCUGCUUUCUUUGGGGUUCAUGAAGCAUGGUGUUGCAAGAGACCACAGGAGUCCUGUGAUGAGGUGUUGUCCCAGAUGGUCUCACCUACCCGAUGCCCCAUGGACUAUGCUGGGCUGGAAUUUCUUCUGCAUGUUAUUUAUGUGUACUUGACCAAACUAGAGAGGCAGGAAUGCAGGUACGAUGUCCAGGUCGGCCCACCCCUUUCCUGCAGGCAGGCUGGAAGGAUUGGAACAGGAUGGCAUGGAGUAAACAUAUCUCAGCAGCUACCUGGAGCAGGUAGACUUUCACGACACUGAGAAGAGUCUAGAUCUUCGCUCUCCCGGUGGGCUAUGGGACACUCACUCAUCUCAAACCUUGGACGCUGUAUUUACAGAGUCCAAGGAUGGAAAUGACCUUAGAAGAUGGCUGGAAUUCCCAUUUUUCAAAGGGGCAAUAAUUUGUGUGUCCUUUUUGUGUGUUGGCACUUCAGAGCAAUGUUAAAAGAAGAAAAAACAAAAACAUAAAACCACUCCCACACGAUUGUGUAGUCAUUCUGAUCCCUAUUUUAACCAGGGAAUUUAAUGAGAGUUCCCCAAUCUGUGGAGAAAGGAGAAAAUGCCCACAGGGUGAGGAUUUGGCCGAUGCCUGUAGGUCUCUGUUGACAAAGCAGCCUUUGAAUCUGUGGUACCUCUGAAUGGAGUCCUACCAUCUUUCAAGGUUAUUGCCUGACUACAGGUUAAAUAUCUUAAUAUUCACUGAUUGGGGGAAAGCACUACGAGCAAAUUGAAUGCAAGGUCCAGGAACACCCAGGUCUUUGG